ensembl:lincRNA 9330111N05Rik RIKEN cDNA 9330111N05 gene
GCUGCGGAUCCUGGACGUCACCCGCUCUGGCCCGUGCGUGCGGCGGGUGAGUGGCCCCGGGGUCUCCGCGGCCGAGGCGCUGGGACGCCCUUCCUGACAGCCGGUCUCCCGGCACGUAGCGCUCGCCUGACUCAGCGCUGAGUCACCGCUCCCGCGGACUCCCGCUUCGCCUUGCACAGCCAGAGGCUGCCGGGCUCCGUGCACGCCGAGGCCGAGCCCUCAGUGCCGCAGACCGGUCUCUGCGCUUCCCGGAGCCGCGCAGGGUUUACAGCUUUUGAAUCCCGACCAAGCCCAGCACUAACUUCCUGCGUUGUUUUCUUUGCCUUAAGGGCUGACUAGUCUAGGGAUCAAAUUCUUCCAUCGAAGCUUGUUGGCGCAAAUCCCCGGCUUUGUCCUUGAACAGUGACUUUGAGAUGACCUUCGUUUGGAUUUUUUUUAAUACUUCCGCGGUUCCAAACUUCUGUCUUAUUUAUGCCCUCCGUUUCCUAAGGUUAUCUUUUCAGUGUGUUUGGUAACUAAUCUUGUCAUAAAGCCACACUGCGGUGACGCAAGUCAGGUUGGAAUCUGGCAUGGUGUACAGGCAGUGACUUACUGUAAAAUCCAGGGCCUUCAUCGCGACAUCCUAUCUGUCAUCUCAGGCGCUGAUUAGCUGCCUUGCCCUUGGAGAGGUCCCGGGGAUUUAGAAGGCCUGUUGAAAUCUGUCUUUAUAGCGGCCAUGUUUCUUGCUUCCUCCUCGGAGUUUAAAAUGAAGAGAACGAUAGAUAAGCAUUUCUGCAAACGUAGCUUGGACCACCUGUCCCAGAAGCACAAUUUUACUCCAAACUGCAGCUGCAGAAUGUCCUGAAUAAAACUAGAAACCGGCCACCGGCCAGUGAAACACGUGAUCAGCAAAGCCUACCAGAGGAUAGGAGGGAAGCAGUUUUCCUAGACUGAACACACAGACCACGUUGGUUCUGGUGUUCUUAUUCAUCUUUCUGUCUAAAAUACUGGAAAGGUAAAAUGCGGGGCGGCCACAUAAAAUAUCAGCGUACUGUUAUAGUGAUAGCCAUUUACAUCGCUGUUGAUAUGGUAGAGAUGGAACCGAAGGCCUGAUGCUCUAAUCAGACACUGCGCUGCACAGCUAUAGCCUCAGCAGGAAGUUGUUCCGACUUCUGAUCCCUGGAUAUUUUCAUUUCCCUGGGAAACUCUUCCAGCUUCAUCUUUGCUAGCAUUGGAGCAAACUCCCCAACAAGCCCUUGUUGGUCCAAGUAGAGUUCUUGGACCAGCAACGCAGCAUCACAAAGUAGCUCAUAAGAAGCACAGGCUCUCAGAGCUGCUGACGCAGCAAAGUUGGAGGAGUGCUUGCCUAGUAUGCUUUAAGACUGGAGUGGAGGAAGGGAGAACAGAAGUUCAAAAUCAUCCUCAGCUGCGUCCUUAGAGCCUAGAAUCUCAGACUCCAUCCAAAAUUGGCAUGUUUACGAGGUCUCUUUAUAUCGCGAACUUGGGAAGAACUGAUCAGUGGGCUGGCAGAGCUUGGACCCCCAAGUGGAGCAUGCCUCCAUUGUUUGUGAGUUCUGUCUCAGCUCAGAGUGGAUGGGCGCACAGUUCCAGGGGAGCAAGGAUGUGUGCAACAGAAACUAGUGUUAGCCACACUUGUUCAUCUAGGUGGAUCAUCUCCAGAGACUGAAGAUAUCAGCAGGGCCUAGGAUAUCUGGGCGGCUCCUUCUCCUUCUGCUCCCAGCCCCAAAUCUAACCCUUCAAUAAGGUUACUGGGAAGAAGGUUAAGCCCAUUUAUUUACUUUCUGUAGAUGACUGGUCCAUUUCCUCACACACUCACAAAUCACUCUGUAAAUUAACACAUCAUGAAUACUUAAACAGUGAAUCUGAUUUUUGGAGACUUGUCAAAAACAUGUUUAAAAAAAAACUGCUAAACUAAAAAUCAAAUUUUGACUUAUGAUAUUUCCAAAGAAAAUCAGCUUCUGAAAUGAACUUGUGAGAAAAUAACCAACCAGCAACCCUCUGUCCUUCCCUGGUUAAUGAAACAGGGGAGGCUGCUGUGGGAAGAGGAAAUCAUCCGGGAACUCCAGACAGGGAAGAAGGCUACAUUCUUACCGAGUGGCUUGCGUUAGCAUUGCUGUGGCCUCGGCACACUGUUACAUUGGGGAGAAGAUGUUAAAGUAGAUCUUCAAUGGUUCUUGCUCUUUUGCUGCAUACCUCACAAUCAUGCAUUGGAAUAGACAGAGGCAGCACUAGGAAAUGUCACCUAUACUUUUCAAUUACAAAGGACAUGAAUUUCAGAGGGAGUUGUUAUCCAUAAAGAUAGUAGUAGAACAUUCUAAAUUACUUUUACCUUAAACUUUAAUCUAGAUUGGGUUCAACAACUCAUCUGGUAAAGAAAGUCAUUUGCCACCAAGUCUGACAAUAUAAGUUUAAGUCUUAAAACCCCAUACACAAAAAACAAACAAACAAAUAAAC